UUUAUUCAGUUUCAAUAUUCAGAUUUAUGCUUUAAUAUAAUUACCGAUUCAAGUUUAAUUUUAUUCCAGUUUGAUACUCGUACCGUUUAUUCAUAUGCUCUGUUUAAUUUAUGAUUACUCUGUUUAAAUGUUUCGUUUAACUAAUAAUUAUUUAAUCAGUAUCUUGUCAAAUAAAAUCAUGCGCAGCUAAAUCUAUUUAACUGGAAUGUGGACUAGGAAGCUAAUCUGGAUUUGGUAAUUAAUCUGUGACUUACGUUUUUUUUCAAUCUAGUUUUCUGUUCAGUUUUUAAUAAUUAAAUUAAAAAUUUUGCACGAGAGUGAAAAUUAAUUAAGGUAUAAAUUAAUAGCGCGACAGUGUG
rnacentral:lncRNA from 1 species